AGCUUUGCGCAGUGGCAGUAUCGUAGCCAAUGAGGUUUAUCCGAGGCGCGAUUAUUGCUAAUUAAAUUUUUACAAAAUAUAGUGUGUAAGCCUUUAGGUUGCUUUAAAACAAAA
rnacentral:snRNA from 1 species